rnacentral:tRNA from 1 species
GGGGUUGUAGCUCAGUGGUAGAGCGCUUAUCUGGUACAAGUAAGGCACUGGGUUUGAUUCUCAGCACCA